CGGGUGAGUAACGCGUGAGGAACCUGCCUCAAAGAGGGGGACAACAGUUGGAAACGACUGCUAAUACCGCAUAAGCCCACGGCUCGGCAUCGAGCAGAGGGAAAAGGAGUGAUCCGCUUUGAGAUGGCCUCGCGUCCGAUUAGCUAGUUGGUGAGGUAACGGCCCACCAAGGCAACGAUCGGUAGCCGGACUGAGAGGUUGAACGGCCACAUUGGGACUGAGAUACGGCCCAG
rnacentral:rRNA from 1 species